rnacentral:rRNA from 1 species
UGCAGAGGUCUCAAGCGUUGUUCGGAUUCAUUGGGCGUAAAGGGAGCGUAGGUGGCGCCAUAAGUCAGGUGUGAAAUCUCGGGGCUCAACCCCGAAACUGCACUUGAUACUGUGGUGCUCGAGUACUGGAGAGGAGAUUGGAAUUUACGGUGUAGCAGUGAAAUGCGUAGAUAUCGUAAGGAAGACCAGUGGCGAAGGCGAAUCUCUGGACAGUUACUGACACUGAGGCUCGAAGGCCAGGGGAGCAAACGGG